GCCGGGAUAGCUCAGUUGGUAGAGCAGAGGACUGAAAAUCCUCGUGUCA
rnacentral:tRNA from 34 species